rnacentral:rRNA from 1 species
GACGAACGCUGGCGGCGUGCUUAACACAUGCAAGUCGAACGGGCCUUGUCCCCUUUUUUUUUGGGGGUGGGGUUAGUGGCGAACGGGUGAGUAACACGUGAGUAACCUGCCCCUCACUUCUGGAUAACCGCUUGAAAGGGUGGCUAAUACGGGGUGUUCUGGCCUGCUCGCAUGGGUGGGUUUGGAAAGAUUCGACCGGUUUUGGUUGUUUUGGUGGGGGAUGGGCUCGCGGCCUAUCAGCUUGUUGGUGGGGUGAUGGCCUGCCAAGGCUUUGACGGGUAGCCGGCCUGAGAGGGUGGGCGGUCACAAUGGGACUGAGACACGGCCCAGACUGCGACGGGAGGCAGCAGUGGGGAAUAUUGCACAAUGGGCGCAAGCCUGAUGCAGCGACGCCGCGUGAGGGAUGGAGGCCUUCGGGUUGUGAACCUCUUUCGCCAGUGAAGAAGGUCCUGCUCUUUGUGGUGGGGUUGACGGUAGCUGGGUUAAUGAAGCGCCGGCUAACUACGUG